CCUCCGCCAACUAUGGCGGGCGAGCUUGAGGGCGCUAAGCCGCUGAGCGGGUUGCUGAGCGGCCUGGCUCAGGACGCUUUCCAUGGGUACCCGGGCAUCACGGAGGAGCUGCUGCGGAGUCAGCUCUAUCCGGAGGUGCCACCUGAGGAGUUCCGCCCCUUUAUGGCGAAGAUGAAGGGGAUUCUUAAGUCUAUUGCAUCUGCAGACAUGGAUUUCAACCAGCUGGAGGCAUUCUUGACUGCUCAAACCAAAAAGCAAGGCGGGAUCACAUCUGACCAAGCUGCUGUCAUUUCCAAAUUCUGGAAGAGCCAUAAGACAAAAAUCCGAGAGAGCCUCAUGAACCAGAGCCGGUGGGACAGUGGGCUUCGGGGCUUGAGCUGGAGAGUUGAUGGGAAAUCGCAGUCAAGACACUCAGCUCAAAUGCACACUCCUGUUGCCAUAAUGGAGCUGGAAAUAGGGAAAAGUGGACAGAAUGUUACGCCAGAUUCUGAGUCAGUCUUCAGAGCUGGACUUCGGGAUACAGCGUGGCAAGCAAGGAAUCUGAAUUUCUGUGUUUGGAGUUUGAUGAGGUCAAGGUCACCCAAGUCCUGAAGAAGCUCUCGGAGGUAGAAGAAAGUAUCAGCACACUGAUGCAGCCAGCCUAGCUGAAGAUGGAGCUGUUGAAGCAAAGGGAGCUGUUGAAUAAAAAGCCAAGGGAAUUUGAUUCUGAAGUUCCCUGAAGAGCUGGAGAAAUCUCCUCACGGGGGACCUGACCCUGGGAGAAUCAACUUGCAGCCCCUGUGGGAAAGCAGCCGGAGAAUCACUGCUGCAGAGGUGAGACCCAGCUAGUUCCUGUUGACCUGCAUGAGCCCCCGGAGAGAAGUGGUUGCUGCAUAACAGCAGGGCCAUUCUUUGUAGAUGGAACACUACACCUAGUUUUGUACCUGGAAGCUUAGCCAAUUAAUAAGCCACUUAACUGUGGUUUGUUAAGAAGCUGGUUUGGGGAGACGACGAGGGUUUAAACUCUUAUCCUUUCCUUCCAUUUUAUCUUAUCCUUGUCCUGGAAAAGGACUGAAGAUUGCUGGUGACUUGUUCCAUUUCUCACCCUUAUUUUGCCAGGUGCUAAAUCACCCAGUCAGUCAGAAUUAAGUACAUGCUUCCAGCUAAGUUUUUUGAGAGAUUAAAAAUGUUUCAACUGUCAAAAGUAUCACCAUAGUCUUAGGAAAAAUCAGGACUUUUGUAGGAUUUCUGUGCUUUCAUAGUUUUUUUGUUUUUUUCAGUUUUUUUAAAUUAUAAGUACAAAGAAGGGAGGAGACUCAUAAUCUUUUUUCAGGGACUGUUAAGGGUCUUAAUCAGGCCUGAUAUCCCACAAAGUUUCCAGGGUGCCCUGUGGGAGGAGUAUAGGGCUGCCCAAGAGGCCGAGGCCACUGGAAGAGGGAUUGAUUAUAUUUCAGGGUUAAGAGGGUACCUCCCAUUCCGGGAGCUCAGAACAUGGACCUUGGCCUUUUGGGUGGAAGUGUAUGGACAUUUCUGUCUUCAAGGAGCUGUUUUGGUUUGCUUUUAACUUUAUGCAAAUAAUACAUGGAUACAUUGUCCUUGAGAAGCAUUUAAACCUUAUAAUUAAGGCUAAAGUCCUCUAUGACCAAUACCCUCCAUCCUGGCUUCUUCCUCUUCUUCCUCAGCAAUAACCUCUGUGAUCACUUUGAGUGUAUCUCCUUCCAUGGUUUUUUUAUGAUUUUUACCUACCUGCAUAUAUGGCCAUAUUUACAGUACUGUUUUAUGUAUUCCUGUAACACAAGUGCAAUCACACUGUAUGUAUUAUCCUGCAAAUUGCUUUUUUCCCUCAACAGCAUGUUUUGGAACUUUUCUAAAUUAGUACUACAGAGACCAACAACCCACCAAACUGACAUAGAGAAUAUUUCAAAGUGGAAGCAUCUGAACUACAGAAGAUGCUGAAAGAAAUCUCAUUAGAACUUCCCUUAUCUGAUCAGAACAGAGCUCUACUAGAGCCAGCUGCUAGCACUCUCCCCCCAUCACCCUUACGGCUCAAAUUAGGGAGGCUGACCUUGGGCACCGGGACAUCCCCCCAAAAUUGUGUAAACACAUCUCACCAGAACCUUCCAUCCUUUGAAGCCCAAAGCCCGUCCCCUCCUAUUAACCUGGUAUAUAAACCUUUACUCCUAACUAUUCUGGGAGCUACUCUAGAGUAGUACAGGGAGUACUAUGGGGUGGUCCUGCAUUCAUAAUAUUAAUACAUUUUUCUCCUGUUAAUUUGUGUGUUGUCAGUUCAUGUGCAUCGCACUCCCCUCAGUCAGACCUAAGUUGGUAGAGAAGUUUUUCCUCCCAAAAGUUUAUAUAAAUUUACCUCACUAAUUUCAACUGCUGCAUAGUAUUACAGAGAGACAAUAGGUUUGGGUUUUGUUUUUCUUUAAUUCCCUAUCAAUGGAUUUUUAGGUUGUUUCCAGUUUUUCCCCAUGGCAAACAAUACUGCAGUGAAUAUACUUGCACAUGCCUCCCAAUAUACAUGUGCAAAUAUAUCUUAGAAAACAGGAAUUGCUAUAUCAUGGGUUAUACGCUUUUUAGAUUCUAGACACUGGCAAAUAGACUGGAGUACAAUAAAUGUUUAACAGCCAGUCUCCCAUAAAAGGAGGUAGGGGCUAAUUUGUAGCAUUUGUCCUAUUUCCAUUGUGUGAGUUCUCCCACCAUGGCCAAUUUCAAACUACUAAUAUUCAUUACUGAACUUGGAUUUGGGACGAGUUAUAUACACUGUUAGCUCUUGCAAGCUGGUAUGAACUGACUCCAGCACAGUUCGAGAAUUCCUCAAACUCAGGAUGCAGACAGAUACCGGCAAAUAGCCCUCCGAAGUAGCCCAACCAGCUUGUACUUUUGCAAGCAGUGUACGAACCUGUCUUGAUAAUAUUACAGUUUUUUGCAAAUAUGAGUCAAAAAAUGAUACCUCAUUUUGCCUUGCAUAUUCCCAGUCAUCAAUGAGGUUGAGCAUCUUUUCACAUUUUAUCAGUAUUUCCUGCUCUGUGAAAUGGUCCAUAUCCUUUGCCUGUUUGUUUUUUCUUGUUGUUGUUUUACUUAUUCAUCUUUUUCUUACUGAUGUGUUGGAGCCCUUGAUGUAGUCUGAAAAUAUAUUGUCCUUCAAGUAGUUUUCAAUCUAUUUUAGAGAAUAAAAUUGUAGAGGAAUAUUCCCAAAUUCUAUUGAGUACCUACUAUAUGAACAUACCCAUCAAGGACUGGGACUGAGAAAAGUACACAUGGUGUACAUCAAAUUCUGUGUGUACUUGUGUACCAUUGUGGUAGGGUCAGUUGAACACACAUGUGCAUACCACUAGUACUAAUAACAAGUAAUUACUGUGAAAAAUACAUAAAUUGUAUUUUGGCUCAGUCAGGCUAUUUGUUGUAUUUUUCAUAAGCAUAUUAUUGAUCAUUUCUCUUGGGGACACUUAGGUCACUGGACUUUUUUCCGAAGGAAUAUAUAUACCAGCACUUCUUAUUCACACUGAAGUCUCUUGUGAGUCUUCCUGUGAGGUCUCAUCCUCAUCUUUUCACUGUUGGCCCUGAUCUGAAAAGGUGCAGUGCUUUUCUUUCCAGGCUGUUCUUCCCUGAAAAUGACUGGCUGCCCCAGCAGCUUGCUGUCUUCUGGGAUGAAUUAAGAACUACAGUUUUGCCCGGGAGGAACCAAGAUGGCGGAGUAGAAGGACGUGCUCUCACUCCCUCUUGUGAGAACACCAGAAUCACAACUAGCUGCUGGACAAUCAUCGACAGGAAGACAC